CUAGAUUUAAUAAUCUUAAUUUAAUAAAUCUCGUUAAGUGAAAUUAUCUGUCCAUGCAGCAAGAUCAUUUCCCUCAGAUUUAGUGUUUUUAUCUAGUUUUUAGACACACCUUUUUGGCAGUGCAAGCUCUUAUCUGACUAAUUUCCCUUCAUAGACAUGUCAUCAGCUGCUUUGUUUUAGAAUACAAAAGUCAUAUUGAAGUUUUAUCAUCUUGUCCCUUAUGUGUCUUGUUUCAAACCAGAUCAGUUCUAUAGAUUUGUUCUACCUGUUAGACAGCAGAGGAACUUCUCUGUGGCUGAAGCAACAGGCCAGUGAUUAUUAUGAUUAGCCUUAUGUUAUCAGUAUGUGAGUACUGCCCCCUGCUGGUGACGGCUGGUUAUUACUAAAUAAAAACACAGGAUGUCAGGCCGCUGUUGACAACACAGACACUAGUUUCUAAUAUAUAAUAAUCAUAGUUCAGAUUGUCCCGUUAGUGCGUCACCUGGAAUUUGGAAAGUGUUAAAACUGUCAGACUCCAGUUUGCUUCAAGCAGCAAAAACACUGUCCUACGCUUCCCAUAAUGCAACUUCACACCUUGUUACAUUAGAGCGUAUUUUCCUGGUAAAUGUCCAUGUUGUUUCAAACCUCAUACCCCAUUUUCAGUCUAUCAAUCAAUACAUUUUAAUGGAAACACUUUAUAAUAACUCUCCUUCAUAAAUGGUAAAUUAAUAGUGAAUGAAACUUUGCUUUAUAGUAAUUUUACUGUUAAACAAUGAAAUGAUAAUUAAUAAUGUUUCAUAAUUAUUAAAAAUGCUAAUAAUAUAAUUUAUUUUCAGUUUUUUGUUGCACACAUUACAUAAUAAUUCAUAUACUAUAUUAAUUAUUUGCUCAAAAUUCAAAAUUUGCUCUACAAAAAAUUAUAAUACCUUGUAAAAUUGUGAAUAAAUAAUUUGUAAAACAUCUAUAAACAUGAUUUAGAUGUAUAUAAUUGGCGCACACUUUUUUUUCUUCACUUUUUUAUAGAUCACUUUUAAAACAUUUAUUUGGGCAAAAUCAAUGUAACUUGAUGCUUUAUAAACCACUUAUUAAUCAUUAACUUAUAAGUAUAAGCAAUAGGUGCAGCUUUAUAUAAUAGCAUUCCAGAUAGAGUUUAUAGAUGUUUACAAAACUGUUUAAUCCAUUGAGAAAUAUUUAAUAUAUCAUGUUUAUACAUACUUUACAAAGUACGUAUUAACCAUGUAACAUCAACAUUAUAACAGCCAAUCAAAUAAUGUUCAUACAUGGUUUACAAAUCAGUUAUUAACCAUUGACAAAUUGUUACAAAUAUAUGGUAAUGGCCAUGAGACACUUCAUAUACUAUAUAAAAUGUUGUAUGUGCAACAAUAAAAUAAACUUCAGCUUUAGAGAUAAUUACCAAACAUGAAUGAUUAUCAGAUCAUUGUUUGUUAAUAGUAAAAACAAUUAACCAAAAUGAAAUUAACUACCACUUUUAGGGCUGCAACUAACAAUUAUUUUCAUUAUCGAUGAAUCUGUCGAUUAUUUAGACGAUUAAUCAAUUAGUUGUUUGGUCAAUAAAAUGUAUGAAAAUAUCAAUGAGUGUUUCCCAAACCACAAGAUGAUCCUCAAAUCUCUUGUUUUGUCCACAAACCAAAGAGAUAUUCAGUUUAUUGUCAUAAACGAACAAAGAAACCAGAAAUAUUCACAUUGAAGAACCUGAAAUCAGAGAAUUUGGACUUACUGUCUUAAAGAAUUGCUCAAACCAAUUAUUGGAUUAUCAAAAUAGUUGACGAUUAAUUUAAUAAUCGAUUAUUGUUUGAUUAAUCGAAUAAUUGUUGCAGCUCUAAUCACUUUACCAUUUAUCAAUAAUAGCUAUAAUAAAGUGUUGCCUUUUAUUUGUCACAUGAAAUCAUGCAGGGUACAACUUGUGCAUUAUUCAUAAUAAAGCAGAAUGUAGUAACUUUAUAGAGUUUACAUUUGGAGUCUCUAAGAUAACCCCUGAUGACAUCAUCAGAUGAUAACUUCAGAUGAUACAAUAUGUCUUUAGAUCAGCGUCAGUGAAAAAACAUGGCAGGUGUCACUUGUUGCUUCCCAUACAUUAAGUGACUCCCAAAUUUAUUUGUAAAGCACAUUUCAUACAAAAAUGUCAUAAAAAAGCAAAGGAAAUGGCGUUAAAUCCCUAAAAUGCUCAUUUAAAGGAAACGUUUCCUUUAUGGGUGGGGGUCUCUCUCUGCACCUAACAAUCAGACUGCCAUAGAUCAUAGUGAAGAAGUUUCAUCCCAGAUAAUGUACAGUAACUUCCCAAUCUAACCCUCCUCUUGGUUGUCCUCACACAUCACUGUUGAGUUGAGCUGUGCUGUAUGUAUCUGUGUCUCCAUGGCACAGUGGGUUGACCUCAGCCUUGCCUAUUUUUAUACCUCCGUGUUUGCUUCUUUGAGUGUUAAUUGAUUGUCGUGUUGAGCACCUCCUAUCUGUGUAUCCAAAUAUCAGCUGUUGUUGUUCUUUUGUUCUUUUUUUUUGCUGCUUUUGAGAUGCAGCCUCCCGCAGUACUGCAGAAAAUAUCCAUAUUCAACAUUUUCACGCAUCAUCAUUUUCUUGGUACCAGUGCUGCAUCAGGCCUUAUUCCAACAUGCUGACAUCCUGAUGGUUUUUUUCCUGUAAUUUCCUGAAGCCGCACUGGAAUUACUUUCAGAUUUGAAUGCUGAAAGUAAAAUUAAGUUUUUGCAGUGACGGAUCAAUUGGCCUCACACUGCAAAAAAAAGGUGUGUCUAAAAACAAGAUAAAACACUCAAUCUGAAGGAAAGAUAAUUCCACUUGACAAGAUUUCUUAAAUUAGGAUUGUUAAAUCUAGAAAUAAGCAUGCUGAACACUUCAAAAAGAAACUAACUCUUAAAAUAAGACAUAUUAUCUAACACUUCUAAAUCUAAAGUUUUUUUUAUUUUGGUAAGAAACAAAUAAUUUGCAGUGCACUCUGCUCGGGCCAGUUCAUCACAGCUUUAAUUUAUCUUGUUUUAAGAGUUAAUCUCUUAUUUUAAGCGUUCAACAUCUAGAUUUAAUAAUCUUAAUUUAAGAAAUCUUGUCAAGGUAAAUUAUCUGUCCAUGCAGCAAGAUCAUUUCCCUCAGAUUUAGUGUUUUUAUCUUGUUUUUAAAAACACUUUUUUGCAGUGCACUAAAUAGACUAAACUGUUGUCUUCUUAUUUCAUCUUUUAUUUUCCUGUUCCAAAGACCUCUAACAGAGAGGUCACAUGGGAGCAGAAGCUGUUCAUUGUCAGAAUGUUAAAUGGAGAAAUGAGCUGUCGACACGGUUAACCAAAAUGAAAAGUAUGAGUAGAAACAACAUAUUUUGGUGACUGAACUUCUGGUCAACUUCAUGAGAACACAGACAUCAAAACUAUCCGUGAAUCCUCAGUACCAUGUUGGCUAUGGGGCUCCAUGCUAACAGUUUAGCUUGCUGAGUGAUUUCAGGCUCCAUGUUAGCGUACAAUAUGUUCACAGGCUGGGCGACUUGAUAUGGUCAAAAAGACAUGAAAAUGUCUAUUAUACUGUAUAUAGAUUUUUCUAUAUUGUUUCUAUCCCAAUGUCGAGAAAACAAAAAACCAUCAGCUUUGAAAACACUCCUGAUUUUCUAAGUAAAACUAACUUGAGAGUGAUUAUUUAGUUUUUCCUUGUAGGAAAUGGGAAAUCUUUCUAAUUCACAAUGAGGUCCCUGCUAAUGAUGCUACAGUUUAGCAUACACUCCCUAAGUGGCAUUAGGUUCCAAAAUGGAUUGAUUGUGUUAACCUACCAUGUUUAAAGUAAACAAUAAUAUGGAAUUAACUAGUGUCAUCAUUGUACAUAAUAAAUUGUUGCAGUUAAACCGGGGUCAUCCCUGUGUUCCCCGGGUCCUAUGUUCCCUGCAAUCUAUCAAUCUUUACGGUAGACUCUCAGCAUGGCCAGCAGGCCUACCAUCACAUGGCCCACCUUAGCUCAAGCAGCACAAAACUUAAAUUUGCACAGCAGCUACUUUCUGGUUACUUUGCAGUUCAUUUGUUUGCUUUUUAAAUCUAGGAUUACUCAUGUUUGUAUAUUCCAACCCCUAAUCAUAUUGUCUGCAUCGAGGCUUAGCUUUUACUUUUUAGGGUUAGGGUUAGGUUAGGUUAGGUUAGGUUAGGUUAGGGCAGGCAUGUCCAAACUAUUCCACAAAGGGCCGUGUGGCUGCAGGUUUUCGUUCCAACCAAGCAGCAGCACACCAGACUUGACUCACUUAAUCAACUGAUCUCAGUCUUCAGACAGUUGAUUGGUCAAACUGUGUGCCUUUGCUUGGUUGAAACGAAAACCUGCAGCUACACGGCCCUUUGUGGAAUAGUUUGGACAUGCCUGGGUUAGGGUUAGGUUUAGGUUAGGUUAGGUUAGGUUAGGGUAGGGUUAGGUUAUUUGUACCGUAUGUGUCAAACAGCCGUAGGCCUACAUAGGCCUAUUUGUCAUGGAAUUUGGCAGUAAUGGUGGAAAAAGUAACAAAGCAAAGAGGGGAACAUAGGACCCGGGGAGCAUAGACACACUCUCCAUAAUUGUAUGUAAUGAAUUGUUGCAGUUAAACCUAUAUGUAUGACAAAAGAAAUGUUUUCAAUUCACUGCUCAGCAGAUGAUGAUGACAUUGCAUCAAAUACAAUAGUGCCAUUAAACCCUGCUACCUUAUCCUCAGUAUAUUAAGCUAAUAGCAGCAUGUUGCUAUUAGCAUGUAGGAAUCUGUGGCUAGCACUUCUGAGAACAUGGGUAGUUUUGGUGUCCUUGUUCUCAUCACUAAUCAUAUUGACCAACAGGACAAUUAAAAAAAUCUCUGUGUACCUCAAUAACACUGGGGUCAGUCCACUUUUUGCUGACUGUAUGACGAAUCAAAAUGUCGGGAAAAGACACAUUUCAGACCUGGGGGCUCAUCCCAUACAAUCAGGGUCAAGGCUGUAGAAUAAAGAUGCUGGCUUUGUGCACAGUGAUGGAUAUCAGAGAAAAAUGUUUAUCUUAUUUUAGUGGAGACAUGCUGAGGAGUCACCUGUCGUUCCCCCUGCUGAUGUAAAUAUAGAAAGAGACUUUAUUUUGUUUAUAAGAGCCUGUGUAAUUUAAAGGUGUAUGUUUCUCUAUGUUUUCAGAGUUUUGUGUUGAUGUUUUUUUUCUUGAAAGACAAUAAAUUGGUUGUGCUAAUUGUG